rnacentral:rRNA from 1 species
CCCGCUGAACUUAAGCAUAUCAAUAAGCGGAGGAAAAGAAACUAACAAGGAUUCCCCUAGUAACUGCGAGUGAAGCGGGAAAAGCUCAAAUUUAAAAUCUGGCGGCUCUUUGCCGUCCGAGUUGUAAUUUAGAGAAGCGUCUUCCGCGCCGGACCGUGCACAAGUCUCCUGGAAUGGAGCGUCAUAGAGGGUGAGAAUCCCGUCUUUGGCAUGGAUCCCUGGUGCUUCUGUGAUGCGCUCUCGAAGAGUCGAGUUGUUUGGGAAUGCAGCUCAAAAUGGGUGGUGAACUCCAUCUAAAGCUAAAUAUUGGCGAGAGACCGAUAGCGAACAAGUACCGUGAGGGAAAGAUGAAAAGCACUUUGGAAAGAGAGUGAAACAGUACGUGAAAUUGUUGAAAGGGAAACGCUUGAAGUCAGUCGCGUCGACCGAGACUCAGCCUUGCCUUGGCUUGGUGUACUUCUCGGCCCGACGGGUCAGCAUCAAUUUUGCCCCUCGGAUAAUGGCAAGGGAAAGGUGGCACCUUUACGGGUGUGUUAUAGUCUCCUGUCGCAUGCGAGGGGUGGGAUUGAGGAACUCGGCGCUUCACGCGUCCAGGAUGCUGGCAUAAUGGCUUUAAGCGACCCGUCUUGAAACACGG